rnacentral:rRNA from 1 species
CAGUAGCCACGGGAAUACAGAGGGUGCGAGCGUUAAUCGGAUUUACUGGGCGUAAAGCGUGCGUAGGCGGCUUCUUAAGUCGGAUGUGAAAUCCCUGAGCUUAACUUAGGAAUUGCAUUCGAUACUGGGAAGCUAGAGUAUGGGAGAGGAUGGUAGAAUUCCAGGUGUAGCUGUGAAAUGCGUAGAGAUCUGGAGGAAUACCGAUGGCGAAGGCAGCCAUCUGGCCUAAUACUGACGCUGAGGUACGAAAGCAUGGGGAGCAAACAGGAUUAGAUACCCCUGUAGUCCCUGUCUCUUAUAC